GACGAACGCUGGCGGCGUGCCUAAUACAUGCAAGUCGAGCGAAGUUUUUCUGGUGCUUGCACUAGAAAAACUUAGCGGCGAACGGGUGAGUAACACGUAAAGAACCUGCCUCAUAGACUGGGACAACUAUUGGAAACGAUAGCUAAUACCGGAUAACAGUAUUUCUCGCAUGAGAGAUAUUUAAAAGUUGGUUAUGCUAACACUAUGAGAUGGCUUUGCGGUGCAUUAGCUAGUUGGUGGGGUAAAGGCCCACCAAGGCGACGAUGCAUAGCCGACCUGAGAGGGUGAUCGGCCACACUGGGACUGAGACACGGCCCAGACCCCUACGGGAGGCAGCAGUAGGGAAUCUUCCGCAAUGGGCGAAAGCCUGACGGAGCAACGCCGCGUGAGUGAAGAAGGAUUUCGGUUCGUAAAGCUCUGUUGUUAGGGAAGAAUGGAUAUGUAGUAACUAUACAUGUAAGAGACGGUACCUAACCAGAAAGCCACGGCUAACUACGUG
rnacentral:rRNA from 1 species